GCCGGCGUAGGGGAGCGGAGUCCCCGCCUCCCUGUCACGGAGGAGAUCGCGGGUUCGAACCCCGUCGCUGGUG
rnacentral:tRNA from 1 species